rnacentral:lncRNA from 1 species
UGGACACUGUGGGGGAAGCUAUACCCUAAGGAAGUCAGAGCAGCAAGAUGGAAGUAGCCUAAGACCCUGAAAAAUGCACAGAGAAGAAUCACCCGACUGGCUUGAACUUUCAUGUGAAAGGAAUGAACCUCUGUCUUAGUAAAGCCACCGUUGAUUCAGGGUCCUUGUCACAUUCACUGAGGCUGUAACAUAAUUGUUAGAAAGAACAGGAGCGGGAGAGGGGAUGCAGUCGGAGAGGCAGGCAGAGGUCAGAUCACAUCAGGCCUGUAGGCCAAGGCGGAGGAAGAAACAGGCAACAUAGGACUCAAGGACCACACCUGCUCCCAGGCGAAGGGAGUUUGCUGUGGGUGCCCCUCUCUGUCUGUGUGUCCAGUGUGUGGAUAUUCUUUAUACCUUGCCCAUAUUGUACAAAUACAUUUUUCUAUUCAAUAUUUAGAAGACAUCGCAUUAAAUAGCAAGAUGGCAGAUGAACAUCAGGAAGGAACAUUAGGAACAUCCACAGUGUUCCAUCCAGGAACCUUCACCGUGGAAACCCUUGUGCUCAUAGGCGUGGUCUCAAGACAAAGGCAGCUGUUGGGGAUCAGCGGCCACACUCAUCGUAGCAGAAAGGCAGGACCAACUGGGAGAGGGUCCUUCUGUGACACCUACUGCAUCACCGGGCUGUGUGAAGUGACUCAGCUGCCAGAACUCACACAAUAUCAUUCUGCACCAAAACCUCAUGGGAAAAAUGCUCCACGACCCUCAGGCUUAAACAGCAGUACUGGCCGCUCCCCAGAUCUCCAGCUCCCUGACCCUUAAACUCCAACUGCAGCACCAGCUCCGCCCCGGGUCUCCAGCUCCACAAUCCUCAAACUACAACAGCAGCACCAGCUCCCCUGUGGAUCUCCAGCUCAAUGACUCUCAGACUUGGGAGGCGGCACCGGCUCCCCACCAAGCCUCCAGCUCCACAACCCUCAAACUAGAAAGCAGCACUGGCUAUUCCCUGGGUCUCCAGUUCCCUCAAACUUCAGCUAUAGCACUGGGUCUUCCCCGAGCCACCAGCUCCACAACCCUCAACUUACACAGUGGUAGCACCAGCUCCUCCCUAGGUCUCCAGCUACACUACUGUCAAACUUGAACUGCAACACCAGCUUCUCUUCGGCCUCCAGCUCCACAAUCCUCCAACAACAACAGCAACACUGGCUCCUCCCUGAAUCUCCAGCUCAACAACCCUCAGUCUUGAGAGGUAGCACGGACAUCUUCCCCAAGGCUCCAGCUCCGUGACCCUCAGAUUUGAACAGCGGUAGCACCAGCUCCUGUCCAGGUCUCCAGCUUCACGAUCCUUAAAGUAGAACAGCAGCACCGCCGCCUCCUUGGGUUUCCAGCUCCAUGACCCUAAGACAUGAAUGAAAGUACUGGGUCACCCCAGGGCUCCAACUCCAAGACCCACAGAUUUGAACGGCAGCACCGGCUCUUCCUGGGAUCUGCAGCUCCACAGCCUUCAAACUAGAUCAGCAGCACCGGCUCCUCCCUGGGUCUCCAGCUACACAAUCCUCAGACAUGAACAAUAGCACCGGCUCCUCCUUGGGUCUCCAGCUUCA